rnacentral:rRNA from 1 species
CCGUAGGUGAACCUGCGGAAGGAUCAUUACCGAGUUCAUGCCCUCACGGGUAGAUCUCCCACCCUUUGUAUACUAUACCUUUGUUGCUUUGGCGGGCCGCCUAGCUACUGGCUUCGGCUGGUAAGUGCCCGCCAGAGGACCCAAAACCCUGAAUAUUAGUGUCGUCUGAGUAAAAUUUUAAUAUUUAAAACUUUCAACAACGGAUCUCUUGGCUCUUGGCAUCGAUGAAGAACGCCGCAGCGAAAUGCGAUAAGUAAUGUGAAUUGCAGAAUUCAGUGAAUCAUCGAAUCUUUGAACGCACAUUGCGCCCCUUGGUAUUCCGAGGGGCAUGCCUAUUCGAGCGUCAUUAUCACCCCUCAAGCUUCGGCUUGGUGUUGAGGCCUGCUGUAAAGGCACCCUCUAAAAUCAGUGGCAGUGCUGUCAGGCUCUAAGCGUAGUAAUUUCAUCGCUAUAGGGUCCUGGUGGAUACUCGUCAAAACCCCCCCAUUUUUUAAUGAUUGACCUCGGAUUAGGUAGGGAUACCCGCUGAACUUAAGCAUAUCAAUAAGCGGAGG